ensembl:snoRNA
AAGACUAUACUUUCAGGGAUCAUUUCUAUAGUUUCUGACUUGAGAAAUGUGUUUCUAAGUUGUAUGGUCUCGCUAACCACGAUGAAGAGGUACUGAUACUCCAACCUGAGCGCGAAGCGGGAGCAGAGAAAUGACUUCGGUCAUAUGCUCUGCUUUAUUGAUGACCGUUCACUGUCUUCUCGGAGACAGCGAGGGUUGGAGUAUGAUCAGAGUGGUA